GGAGAUUUAGCUCAGCGGCAUAAGCGCCUGCCUUGCAAGCAGGCAGUCCUGAGUUCGAUCCCCAGUACCCA
rnacentral:tRNA from 1 species